GAUGAACGCUGGCGGCGUGCCUAAUACAUGCAAGUCGAGCGAACAGACGAGGAGCUUGCUCCUCUGACGUUAGCGGCGGACGGGUGAGUAACACGUGGAUAACCUACCUAUAAGACUGGGAUAACUUCGGGAAACCGGAGCUAAUACCGGAUAAUAUAUUGAACCACAUGGUUCAAUAGUGAAAGACGGUUUUGCUGUCACUUAUAGAUGGAUCCGCGCCGCAUUAGCUAGUUGGUAAGGUAACGGCUUACCAAGGCAACGAUGCGUAGCCGACCUGAGAGGGUGAUCGGCCACACUGGAACUGAGACACGGUCCAGACUCCUACGGGAGGCAGCAGUAGGGAAUCUUCCGCAAUGGGCGAAAGCCUGACGGAGCAACGCCGCGUGAGUGAUGAAGGUCUUCGGAUCGUAAAACUCUGUUAUUAGGGAAGAACAAAUGUGUAAGUAACUAUGCACGUCUUGACGGCACCUAAUCAGAAAGCCACGGCUAACUACGUG
rnacentral:rRNA from 1 species